AACCUGGUUGAUGCCUGCCAGUAGUCAUAUGCGUUGUGCUCAAAGAUUAAGCCAUGCAUGUCUCAGUAUAAGCUUCUACACGGCGAAACUGCGAAUGGCUCAUUAAAACAGUUAUAGUUUAUUUGGUGGUCAACUUCUACAUGGAUAACCGUGGUAAUUCUAGAGCUAAUACAUGCGCCCAAACCCAACUUCUUGGAAGGGUUGUGUUUAUUAGAUACAGAACCAACCCAGGCUCCGCCUGGCCUUGAGGUGAUUCAUAAUAACCGAACGAAUCGCAUGGCUCCGCCGGCGAUAGACCAUUCAAGUUUCUGACCUAUCAGCUAUCGUCGGUAGGGUAUUGGCCUACCGUGGCAAUGACGGGUAACGGAGAAUUAGGGUUCGAUUCCGGAGAGGGAGCCUGAGAAACGGCUACCACAUCUAAGGAAGGCAGCAGGCGCGCAAAUUACCCAAUCCUGACGCAGGGAGGUAGUGACAAGAAAUAACAGUACAGGGCAUAUCUGUCUUGUAAUUGGAAUGAGUAAACUUUAAAUCACUUUGCGAGUAUCAAUUGGAGGGCAAGUCUGGUGCCAGCAGCCGCGGUAAUUCCAGCUCCAAUAGC
rnacentral:rRNA from 1 species